rnacentral:rRNA from 1 species
GACGAACGCUGGCGGCGUGCUUAACACAUGCAAGUCGAACGGUAAGGCCCUUCGGGGUACACGAGUGGCGAACGGGUGAGUAACACGUGGGUGAUCUGCCCUGCACUUUGGGAUAAGCCUGGGAAACUGGGUCUAAUACCGGAUAGGACCACGGCCUGCAUGGGUUGUGGUGGAAAGCUUUUGCGGUGUGGGAUGGGCCCGCGGCCUAUCAGCUUGUUGGUGGGGUGAUGGCCUACCAAGGCGACGACGGGUAGCCGGCCUGGGAGGGUGUCCGGCCACACGGGGACUGAGAUACGGCCCAGACUCCUACGGGAGGCAGCAGUGGGGAAUAUUGCACAAUGGGCGCAAGCCUGAUGCAGCGACGCCGCGUGGGGGAUGACGGCCUUCGGGUUGUAAACCUCUUUCACCAGGGACGAAGCGCAAGUGACGGUACCUGGAGAAGAAGCACCGGCCAACUACGUGCCAGCCGCCGCCGUAG